GGUCACACCUGUCAAGCACAGAACCGCUUGCUUCCAAUCCCACCACUCCUGCCUCACCCUUUAAAGCAGCUAAGGCCCCCCUCACGUGACAGGGGUCAGCUCCAGGACAAGGCUUUCUAACUACUGCAGCCACACUAGAAUGGAGUGAACAGAUGAAGAACUCUCUGCUCAGCCCAAAAAGAAAUCAAUCCCCUGACUUUCCCUGUCCCCAGGCCCAAGUACAACUCAUGGAGGUCUGGGACCCAGGCUCAACAGAGGGGACACAGUUCUUGACCUGGACUGCCGAACAAGAAUAGAUCUAAAUUAGGCCAUCAGCUCUACCCGGUCUUCUCGCCUCCCUGCCUAUUUCGAGGGCCAAGAGCUGAGUGAGAUUCUAGUCCUUCAGGCUUGGCCCUCGUCGCCUACUCCCUACCGGUGUCCGCCAAGGUACCUAUGAAAUAGGGACAUUGUUAUUCCCACGUUAAUAUGAGGAAAGGAAGAGGUGAAGAAACCAAGUGGCAGGUCUGGGAUGAUGAGCAUGCCUGCACCUUGCAGAACGCAUCAUCCGAAGUCGGAGGCCUCGGGGAGGUUUCCCAGGCUGCUCUACAGAGAAGCUACCCCCAUACCACUAGCUCCUCCCCAGCCCUCAGCAUGCAGCACCCACACUGCUGUUCAGUCACUGUCACUCAGUCUCCCUCCCCCAACCCACCCUAGGCUCUGGCUCUGAGCAGCCAGGACAGGACCACACAAGCCUUGUGACAGGAGGGCACAGGGCUCUGGAACCCUGGUGCUGAGACCCCACCCUCCCAGUUACAAUGUAAAAUGAAACUUAGACUCCACAGGAACAGAGAAACCAAGAAAAUGGGUGUGUUCCAUUUGUAAUAAAAAUAAACAUUUUUUUUAAUGGGA